rnacentral:rRNA from 1 species
UACGAAGGGGGCUAGCGUUGCUCGGAAUCACUGGGCGUAAAGCGCACGUAGGCGGAUUGCUAAGUCAGGGGUGAAAUCCUGGAGCUCAACUCCAGAACUGCCCUUGAUACUGGCGGUCUCGAGUCCGGAGAGGUGAGUGGAACUGCGAGUGUAGAGGUGAAAUUCGUAGAUAUUCGCAAGAACACCAGUGGCGAAGGCGGCUGACUGGCCCGGUUACUGACGCUGAGGCGCGAAAGCGUGGGGAGCGAACAGG